rnacentral:sRNA from 1 species
CGUCAGCUGCAAAAGGGAUGGUAGUGGUUAUCCUUUUUCUUAGCGAAGGAAAAGGCUUGGGAGAAAAAGAUAUUAACGGACAGCCCGACCCGAG